CAGUUGUUGACAUAUUGAUUUUUUCUGAUUUAGUUGAUAGAUCUUUUAUUUUGUAUUCUUACUCACAAUAUAUUGUUAAAUAGGUUACUUAUAUUGAAACAGUUACCUAGCCCUCUGGUCAAACCGUAAUACUUCCACUCUUUUAAUAUCUACAAGAUCUUAUUCACAAAGGAUUUUCCCUUUUCUAUUGGAUUUGUUAGAGCCUAUUCCUCCCUGCCUGGCACAAUACAUAAAGGAAAUAGACUUAUAGAUCUUUAUACCAGGAUGAUUAUCCUUUCUGCUGUUGAAAAAGUCAAUCACCAAAAUGCUUCUACUUUAAAGUAUCAAUUCCAUAUUCCCAAAGAGGGAAUUCCCAAAGAGAUAUUAUAAGAAAUUGUUCAACAUGCCCUGCACUUAUUCAUAAUUUAUGUAUGGGGGUAAAUUCUUGAGGAUUUAGACCUGGUGACUUAUGGCAGAUGGAUGUUACACGUGUCUUCUUUUUGAAAACUAUCCUAUAUUCAUGUACUGCAGAUACUUAUUCGCAUGUUAUUAUGGCCUCUGCCUGAAUAGGAAAGACCUACAAAGAUGUUGUUCAACUCAUUUUCCCUUGCUUUACUAUUUUUGGGACAACCUAGGACCUUAAAAACAGAUAAUGUGAAAGCUUAUACCUCUAAAUCUCUUUAAAAGUUUUGUAUUUGCCAUUGCAGGUCAUUAGGCAGGAUGAUUACAGGCAUGCCUGACUACCACCAUCCCUCACCAGACCCUGUAACCUACAAGCCCCAAUCUUGCCCCCAAACCCACCCAUCUUCCAAGACUACAGCUGUUCCUUGAGACUUCUCCAGCUCUGAUUAUAACAAGAAGUUUCAGCACCUUCAAAUACUCUGAAAGCUAGUCUUCAGGGAGGAGACUCACAAGCCAGUUUCAUCUUAACACUUCCAUGUCUGUAUCUGAAAUGUGUGUUGUCCUAAGAAAUAGGGCACAUUUUUCAUUUCUGGGUGGCAACAAGAACCAAGCAAUUGAUCCAUCUAUGAAACCUUCCCACAUCUAGACUCAUGGAAAAUUAAAGAAGGAAGAAAAGAUCUCAAGAGCCUGAAGAAGAGGGAGGUUCCUGUGAGAAUAUGUCUACUAGGAAGAGUAAAAGGUAUAUUAUAGUCUUACCUACAUGACAACCAAACUGUAAGGUAAACAAAGAUGACAUUAUCAAA